rnacentral:rRNA from 1 species
GUACCGUGAGGGAAAGGUGAAAAGCACCCCGACGAGGGGAGUGAAACAGACCCUGAAACUGGACGCCUACAAGCAGUCGGAGGGCGAAAGCCUGACGGCGUACCUUUUGUAUAAUGGGUCAUCGACUUAGUCUGACUAGCAAGCUUAAGCCGUUAGGUGUAGGCGCAGCGAAAGCGAGUCUUAAUAGGGCGACUGAGUUCGUGGGAUGAGACCCGAAGCCGAGUGAUCUAGCCAUGGGCAGGUUGAAGGUGCGGUAACACGCACUGGAGGACCGAACCCACG